rnacentral:rRNA from 1 species
GAUGAACGCUGGCGGCGUGCCUAAUACAUGCAAGUCGAGCGAACGGACGAGAAGCUUGCUUCUCUGAUGUUAGCGGCGGACGGGUGAGUAACACGUGGAUAACCUACCUAUAAGACUGGGAUAACUUCGGGAAACCGGAGCUAAUACCGGAUAAUAUUUUGAACCGCAUGGUUCAAAAGUGAAAGACGGUCUUGCUGUCACUUAUAGAUGUAUCCGCGCUGCAUUAGCUAGUUGGUAAGGUAACGGCUUACCAAGGCAACGAUGCAUAGCCGACCUGAGAGGGUGAUCGGCCACACUGGAACUGAGACACGGUCCAGACUCCUACGGGAGGCAGCAGUAGGGAAUCUUCCGCAAUGGGCGAAAGCCUGACGGAGCAACGCCGCGUGAGUGAUGAAGGUCUUCGGAUCGUAAAACUCUGUUAUUAGGGAAGGACAUAUGUGUAAGUAACUGUGCACAUCUUGACGGUACCUAAUCAGAAAGCCACGGCUAACUACGUG